rnacentral:rRNA from 1 species
GACGAACGCUGGCGGCGUGCCUAAUACAUGCAAGUAGAACGCUGAAGAGAGGAGCUUGCUCUUCUUGGAUGAGUUGCGAACGGGUGAGUAACGCGUAGGUAACCUGCCUUGUAGCGGGGGAUAACUAUUGGAAACGAUAGCUAAUACCGCAUAACAAUGGAUGACACAUGUCAUUUAUUUGAAAGGGGCAAUUGCUCCACUACAAGAUGGACCUGCGUUGUAUUAGCUAGUAGGUGAGGUAAUGGCUCACCUAGGCGACGAUACAUAGCCGACCUGAGAGGGUGAUCGGCCACACUGGGACUGAGACACGGCCCAGACUCCUACGGGAGGCAGCAGUAGGGAAUCUUCGGCAAUGGGGGCAACCCUGACCGAGCAACGCCGCGUGAGUGAAGAAGAUUUUCGGAUCGUAAAGCUCUGUUGUAAGUCAAGAACGGGUGUGAGAGUGGAAAGUUCACACUGUGACGGUAGCUUAACAGAAAGGGACGGCUAACUACGUG